rnacentral:pre_miRNA from 1 species
AAGGGGAUAGCUGGGUCAAAUGGUGGUUCCAUUCCCAGAUUUCCAAGGAAUCUCCAUACUGCUUUCCAUAAUGGCUGCACCAAUUUGCAGUCCCACCAGCAAU